rnacentral:rRNA from 1 species
AGCGAACGCUGGCGGCAGGCCUAAUACAUGCAAGUCGAACGGCUCUUCGGAGCAGUGGCGGACGGGUGAGUAACGCGUGGGAAUGUGCCCUUUGGUACGGAACAACACAGGGAAACUUGUGCUAAUACCAUAUGUGCCCUUCGGGGGAAAGAUUUAUCGCCUUUGGAGCAGCCCGCGUUGGAUUAGCUAGUUGGUGAGGUAAAGGCUCACCAAGGCGACGAUCCAUAGCUGGUCUGAGAGGAUGACCAGCCACACUGGGACUGAGACACGGCCCAGACUCCUACGGGAGGCAGCAGUAGGGAAUCUUGCGCAAUGGGCGAAAGCCUGACGCAGCCAUGCCGCGUGUAUGAUGAAGGUCUUAGGAUUGUAAAAUACUUUCACCGGGGAAGAUAAUGACGGUACCCGGAGAAGAAGCCCCGGCUAACUUCGUGCCAGCCGCCGCCGUAAAAC